rnacentral:rRNA from 1 species
CCUACGGGAGGCAGCAGUGAGGAAUAUUGGUCAAUGGGCGCGAGCCUGAACCAGCCAAGUCGCGUGAGGGAGGACGGCCCUACGGGUUGUAAACCUCUUUUGUCGGGGAGCAACGGGCGUCAUGUGUGGCGCCACUGAGAGUACCCGGAGAAAAAGCAUCGGCUAACUCCGUGCCAGCAGCCGCGGUAAUACGGAGGUCUCAAGCGUUGUUCGGAAUCAAUGGGCGUAAAGCGUGCGUAGGCUGUUUCGUAAGUCGUGUGUGAAAGGCGCGGGCUCAACCCGCGGACGGCACAUGAUACUGCGAGACUAGAGUAAUGGAGGGGGAACCGGAAUUCGCGGUGUAGCAGUGAAAUGCGUAGAUAUCGAGAGGAACACCAGUGGCGAAGGCGGCCUGCUGGGCUUUUACUGACGCUGAGGCUCGAAAGCGUGGGUAGCAAACAGGAUUAGAUACCCCAGUAGUC